GGGCGUUUUUUUCUUAUUCCAGAGCCAAUAAUAAUGGAGGGUUCUCCCGAAUUUAAGAUUCUGAAGGACAAAUGGACCGCAAUUUCGGUGGACAAUAAAAGAUCAGCGCAGUUCGAGCACACCGUCGUCAUUACCUCGGAGGGAGCAGAAAUCCUCUCUAAAGUGCAGGGAGAAGUCUAAGGACGCAGCGGGGAGUGGAGGGCUCGGUGUGUUUUGGGCUUCCUCGACCCCGCAGGGACAGCGCUGAGCUCCGGGUGGUUCUGGGGGCACUGAGCGGACACGGGACGCGGCUCGGGGACUCGCUCCGGGCACGGUGCUCUGCGCGGUACCCGGUGAGUGUUGAAUAAAAGCCUCUUGGUUUGCGGCA